rnacentral:rRNA from 1 species
UACGGAGGGAGCUAGCGUUGUUCGGAAUUACUGGGCGUAAAGCGCGCGUAGGCGGCUUUGUAAGUUAGAGGUGAAAGCCCGGGGCUCAACCCCGGAAUUGCCUUUAAGACUGCAUCGCUUGAAUCCGGGAGAGGUGAGUGGAAUUCCGAGUGUAGAGGUGAAAUUCGUAGGUAUUCGGAAGAACACCAGUGGCGAAGGCGGCUCACUGGACCGGCAUUGACGCUGAGGUGCGAAAGCGUGGGGAGCAAACAGG